rnacentral:rRNA from 1 species
CCGACCGCGGCUCAGAUUGAACGCUGGUGAUGCUUGAAGGCCAUGCAAACAACUGCGCGCACGGACUUCGGUUCCGUGGCGAGUGGCGAACGGGUGAGUAAUGUAUCGGAACGUGCCUAGUAGCGGGGAUAACUACGCGAAAGCGUAGCUAAUACCGCAUACUGCCCUUCGGGGAAAGCGGGGACCUUCGGUCUCACCAUUAGAGGCUGCUGCUGAUAUCGGAUUAGCUAGUUGUGUAACGCCCACCAAGGCGACGAUCCAGCUGCUUGAGAGGACGACCAGCCACACUGGGACUGAUACGGCCCAGACUUUACGGGAGGCAGCAGUGGGGAAUUUUGGACAAUGGGGGAAACUCCUGAUCCAGCCAUCCCGCGUGGGUGUGAUGAAGGCUCCGGGCCAGGAAAGCACCCCGGGCGUAAAGAAACGGCACGGAUAAUACCCUUGCAACUGAUUUACCUGCAGAAUAAGAUCACAACUAAUGUCAGCAGCCGCGUAAUACGUAGGGUGCCGCGAACUGAAUUACUGGGCGGCAAGCGUGCGGCAGGCGGUUCGGAAAGAAAGAUGUAACCCAGAGCUUUGAAUUUGAAACGCAUUUUUUAACUACCGAGCUAGAGUGUGUCAGAGGGAGGUGGAAAUCUAUGUGUAGCAGGAAAUGGCAGAGGCGGGAGAACAUCUACGGCGAAGGCAGCCUCCUGGGAUAACACUGAUGCUCAUGCACGAAAGCGUGGGGAGCAACAGACGACACCCUGGUAAUCCACGCCCUAAACGAUGUCAACUAGCUGUUGGGGCCUUCGGGCCUUUGCAGCGCAGCUAACGCGUGAAGUUGACCGCCUGGGGAGUACGGUCGCAAGAUUAAAACUCAAAUAGAAUUGACGGGGACCUGCACAAGCGGUGAUGAUGUGAUUAAUUCGACGCAACGCGAAAACCUUACCUACCUUGCAGUGACAUGUCUGGAAUCCCGAAGAGAUUUGGGAGUGCUCGCAAGAGAACCGGAACACAGGCGCCGUAAUAUUGCCGUCAGCUGUGUCGUGAGAUGUUGGGUUAAGUCCCAACGAGUGCAACCCCACGCUGAAGUUGCUACGAAAGGGCACUCUAAUGAGACUGCCGCGACAAACGGAGGAAGGUGGAUGACGUCAAGUCCUCAUGUCCUUACAGCCUCACUGGUCAUACACGGUCGGGACAGAGGGUCGCCAACCCGCGAGGGGGAGCUAAUCCCAGAAACCCGGAUUCGUAGUCCGAUCGCAGUUCGCAAACUGACUGCGUGAAGUCGGAACGCUAGUAAUCGCGGAUCAGCAUGUCGCGGUGAAUACGUUCCCGGGUCUUGUACACACCGCCCGGGCCGCCUGCUGGGAGUGGUUUCACCGAAGAAGAAGAGCCAACCAAGAGGGCGAUUACUACGGCAGGAUUCAUGGAUCGUGCGAAGUCGCAGC